UCACAGAGGUUCAGGAAACAUGCUAGAUAAACAUUCUAAACAAGAUAAACAUUCUACCACCUGAGCUACAGUCCUCACCUACUCAGAUCUGAUGGAAGCAAAGGAUUCAAGCUCCCACUGCCUUGACUCAUCUGCAACAACCAAUUGUGAAUUUGAACCAUGAGACAGCAUAAACCUUUUUCUCUUAAGUCACCUUAUUCACAAUAUUUUAUCAUAACAUCAGGCAAAGAAACUAUGAAGGGAAUAUAAAAUUCUGCUGAUGGGAAGCACCACAAGAGACCUUAAAAUUUAAUCAUUGGCAGUAGCCAUGAAGAGGGUAUAACUGACUUUUUUCUCGUUUCUGACUUUAAAGCAAUGGUUCUCCUGCUUCCUAAGUCAAAAUCUUACUUGAAAACAUACAUUUUACAUUACUUCCCUAGACAGGUGAAUGAGACAGAUAAGCUUUCGUUUUACUUUUGAAACUUUUCUCGAUUUUAUUAGUUGUUUACUUUUUUUUUUAGCUUAGUAAGAUAAGAUAUAUUAACUAAUUUUGUCAGCUGUGAAAAACCUUUCAAAUGUACAAAUCUAAAUACAACACAUGGAGAAGAUAAGACAUCAUAAACCAGUUUCAACUGUGUUUAUUCAAAGAGCCAACUGAACUGCGUGUUUGCCCAUCGUGAUCCUGGCAGUCAACACCUAGAAACUGUGAUUGAAUUUAAAAUUCUUGAAGUGGCUCAAAAUUGUUGUUAACACUUGGAUGAGAUGGAUGGAAGUAUCAAGAAGGCUGACCUUGCAAGUUCUUCAGGAGUCUGACCCAUUAACAAUUGUGAACGAAUUUAAUGCUCAGGAAAAUGACAAUCUCAGCCACAGUCUGAUCCAGUCCUGCUGCACCCUGCUGGGAUAAGAACCUUUUAAAGUGUUUCCAAUGUAUCUCAUUUUCACUUAAAGGGUAUCUUUUAUGUCUAUGGAGACUUGCUUACCUGAGAUUAAAUGCUCUGUAUCUCACCUCA